UCUUGUUUACGACCGUAUCUGCCUUUCGAACGAAUGUAUCUAUUCGAAUGUGUUCGAAAACUGUAUUCUUGUUUUCGUUCGUAUGCGUAUCGAAUACGAUUCGUAUGCGAAAAAGUAUUGCCGCACGAGCACCUUCUUUCGAAACAAUUCUAAGCUGUCAAAAAGGUGAAAAACGAAAACAAAACAGGGAAAAUCCUAAUUUUUAUUUAUCAGCAACCACGGAUUCAUCGUUUGUGAUUCCUGAGUUGGUUUUAUUUGUGGUGUAACUUGGACGGCUAGGACCGCUUACGGUCCAUCUCGCGAGUGGUUCCUGAUUUGUUUAUUGGAAAUCCGGAUUUUCCCGCUUUUCGUUAUUUGAGUGGUAAAAGUGUCGUUUUCAAUCGUAUCUGGUAGUAGGGUAAGGAGACGGAACGGUCAGUGACAAAAGUCCUUCCAAAUCAUCCCGCGGGGAUCCAGUCGGUGGUAUUUUGACCUUGAAGAAAUUCCCCAUGAGGAAUGGGCACAUUGAUACUGGACAUUGUAGCAGACGAGGAUGUGAGGGAACAUAUGAGACGGCAGCGAUCCUGUCUCCGUAAACGGUUGGAUAUUUUAGAGAUGCCUGAUUAAACGUUCAUCAGUUUUGAGUAAAAAAACUGAAAUAUCGCUUCCUUGAAGAUGAAUUCAGUUGAACGCAAUUUUGCUGCUUCUCAACGCUGAAAGUACACACCAAAUUUUUAUUGCUGGAAGCCAGCAAAAUUUUGCUGAUUUUUGUUGUGCUGUAAAUCCAGCAAUUGAAUCAGCAAUUCAAAACAUUGCUGAACUUACAGCAAUGUUUUUUGACAGCUCGAUUGCUGGCUUUCAGCAAUUAUUUUUAUCUCGCGCAGCUUGGCUAUUGCUGAUCAACCAGCAAAUGCCUAAGCUCAGUUUUUCUGUUCCGUCAAAACUUUUCGAAUAAAAUCUUGAAAUAAAACUACAAUUAACCUAUUGUACGCUCCACGUGGGUCUUUAUAUUCACUUUAUAUUAACAAUAUGUUUAAAGACAAUGUGUUUUUGUUUCAUAAAAUGUUUGGACCUAGAAGUGAGCCGAGACGCAGAAGUUCUACUAGAUUCAGUUAUCUGAAAUGAAAUGUACCAUAAUCAUGUCAAGGUUUUUAACUAAAUGCAUUAAAAAGCUUACCUGAUGUUGAAAUCUUCCGAAUUUGGGAAUUCUAUCAAUAUUUUGGGAGGAAAAAAUUCUACUUUGUUAUUAUAUGGAUGCUGCAGGAAAGG